rnacentral:rRNA from 1 species
GGACGAACGCUUGCGACGUGCCUAAGAAAUGCAAGUCGAACGGGGGAGCAAUCCCUAGUGGCGAACGGUCGCGUAACACGUGGGCAACCUGCCCUGAAGCGGGGGACAACAAGUCGAAAGAUUUGCUAAUACCGCAUGUGUCUCGCUGUGGCAUCACAGAGGAGACAAAGCCGCAAGGCACUUCAGGAUGGGCCCGCGGCCUAUCAGCUUGUUGGUGAGGUAACGGCCCACCAAGGCUUCGACGGGUAGCUGGUCUGAGAGGACGAUCAGCCGGAUUGGGACUGAGAUACGGCCCAGACUCCUACGGGGGGCAGCAAUUAGGAAUCUUGCACAAUGGGCGAAAGCCUGAUGCAGCGA